UGGGGAAUAUUGCACAAUGGGCGCAAGCCUGAUGCAGCCAUGCCGCGUGUAUGAAGAAGGCCUUCGGAUUGUAAAGUACUUUCAGCGGGGAGGAAGGGAGUAAAGUUAAUACCUUUGCUCAUUGACGUUACCCGCAGAAGAAGCACCGGCUAACUCCGUGCCAGCAGCCGCGGUAAUACGGAGGGUGCAAGCGUUAAUCGGAAUUACUGGGCGUAAAGCGCACGCAGGCGGUUUGUUAAGUCAGAUGUGAAAUCCCCGGGCUCAACCUGGGAACUGCAUCUGAUACUGGCAAGCUUGAGUCUCGUAGAGGGGGGUAGAAUUCCAGGUGUAGCGGUGAAAUGCGUAGAGAUCUGGAGGAAUACCGGUGGCGAAGGCGGCCCCCUGGACGAAGACUGACGCUCAGGUGCGAAAGCGUGGGGAGCAAACAGG
rnacentral:rRNA from 1 species